rnacentral:misc_RNA from 1 species
UCCGAGUUGACCCCGGCAGUCUCCCAUGAGUCCCCGCCAUCACGCGCUGGCAACAUGGAACGAGGGUUGCGCUCGUUGCGGGACUUAACCCAACACCUCACGGCACGAGCUGACGACAACCAUGCACCACCUGUAUAGGGCCCCGAAGGACACUGCAUCUCUGCAGCUUUUCCCUAUAUUUCAAGCCCUGGUAAGGUUCUUCGCGUUGCGUCGAAUUAAUCCGCAUGCUCCGCCGCUUGUGCGGGCCCCCGUCAAUUCCUUUGAGUUUUAGCCUUGCGGCCGUACUCCCCAGGCGGGGCGCUUAAUGCGCUAGCUACGGCACAGAACCAGCCAAUGUGGCCCCACACCUAGCGCCCACCGUUUACAGCAUGGACUAC